CACGUAGGGCGCAAGCGUUGUCCGGAAUUAUUGGGCGUAAAGAGCUCGUAGGCGGUCUGUUGCGUCCGCUGUGAAAACUCGGGGCUUAACCCCGAGCCUGCAGUGGAUACGGGCAGACUAGAGGUAGGUAGGGGAGAAUGGAAUUCCCGGUGUAGCGGUGAAAUGCGCAGAUAUCAGGAGGAACACCAAUAGCGAAGGCAGCUCGCUGGGACGGUACUGACGCUAAGGCGCGAAAGCGUGGGGAGCGAACAGG
rnacentral:rRNA from 1 species